rnacentral:rRNA from 1 species
CAUACUCGGGGAUAGCCUUUCGAAAGAAAGAUUAAUACCCGAUGGUAUAAUCAGACCGCAUGGUUUGAUUAUUAAAGAAUUUCGGUUAUCGAUGGGGAUGCGUUCCAUUAGGCAGUUGGUGAGGUAACGGCUCACCAAACCUUCGAUGGAUAGGGGUUCUGAGAGGAAGGUCCCCCACAUUGGAACUGAGACACGGUCCAA